rnacentral:lncRNA from 1 species
GCGCCGACCUUGAUCUCGUAGCCGGCGCCAGCAGCCGCGCUUUGGGGCGUCGGCUCACGUGGGGCCGGCAACGCGUCUUCCAGGAUGUUCGCGCGCUAGUCGCCGCUGAGGGGCCGGCGAUGCGCGAGGAGUUCCGGCGAGGAAGGUCGGUCAGUGGACAUGGCCGAGGCCCGCGGUGUCCGCGUGUGGGAGCUGCAGGGCUGAGGAGAGGCCGCCCGCAACCCUCGGGAAUCGUGUGAGGUGCCACUGGGGUCGCUUCACAUCAGGAGGCCCCGUCUCGGGGGACGCGCGCAGGUGACCCUGCUGGUCGUACCUGGCCGGGGUGGCCCGGAGGGGCUGGGUCUCGGCGCCAGGAGGGGCCGUGUGGGCCGCCUGUUAAAGGACCCCUCGUUCGCUGACAUUUGAUUUUGCAUUGGGUGCCUUCUCUUCUGUUUUUUUCAGCCAGUGAGAUCCGUCCUGGGCACUCAGCUGUAGAGCAGGGGAACGAGUCCUGCGCUUUUUGCGCUGAGGUCUCCUGGCCCGUAGGCCAGGCAGCCUCUGAGCUCCUUUCUCACCAGCAGCUUGCGAUCCCUCAUCCCUGGCCCUGUCACUCCCAGCUGUUUCCAGUGCCGCCCUUUUUUUUUUUUUUUUUUUGAGAUGGAGAGUUUAACUUGUUCGCCCAGGCUGGAGUGAAGUGGCACGAUCUUGGCCUACUGCAACCUCUGCCUCCCGGAUUCAAGCGAUUCUCCUGCCUCAGCCUCCCGAGUAGUUGGGAUUACAGUCGUGCGCCACCACGCCCGGCUAAUGUUUAUAUUUUUAGUAGAGACGGGUUUUCACCAUAUUGGUCAGGCUGGUCUCGAACUCGUGACCUCAGGUGAUUCCCUCCCCCCGCCCCACCACCUCAGCCUCCCAAAGUGCUGGGAUUACAGGCCUGAGCCACCGUUCCCGGCCUCGAGCGCCUUCUUAUAAACUGGAUGGUGGUUUUUGUUUUCACCUUCAAAGUCGAAUCUCCCUAGUCCGUUUAUUACCAGAAAGAGGUCUCCACUCAGACCCAGCGAGAGGCUUCUUGGAUGUCGCGUAGGAAAGAAUUCGGGGCGAGUCCACGGACUAAAGUGAAAGCAAGUGUAUUAGAGAAGUGAGAAAGCAAAAGAAUGGCAGAGCAGGGCAUUCCUGAAAGCGGGAGGAGGAAGGCGCCCGCCUUAGGUACAGUGCUUGUUCAAAUCUAAGGUAACACAGCCAAAGAAAUCUUGGGGGACAUGGGCUCUACCACGAGGGCCCACGACCAAGGUUUCAUGCGCGUCCGUGUGAAGAGACCACCAAACAGGAUUUGUGUGAGCAACAUGGCUGUUUAUUUCACCUGGGUGCAGGCGGGCUGAGUCCAAAAAGACAGUCAGCGAAGGGAGAUAGGGGUGGGGCCGUUUUAUAGGAUUUGGGAAGGUAAUGGAAAAUUACAGUCAAAGGGGGUUGUUCUCUGGUGGGCAGGGGUGGGGGGUCACAAGGUGCUCAGUGGGGGAGCUUCUGAGCCAGGAGAAGGAAAUUCACAGGGUUAAUCACUUAGUUAAGGUUGGGCAGGAACAAAUCACGAUGGUGGAAUGUCAUCAGUUAAGGUGGGGCAGGGCCUUUUCACUUCUUUUGUGAUUCUUCAGUUACUUCAGGCCAUCUGGGCGUAUACGUACAAGUCACAGGGGAUGCGAUGGCUUGGCUUGGGCUCAGAGGCCUGACACAAGGAUUGUUCAUCUUUGUUUACUGACUUUGGCAAAGAUCUAUAUUAUCUUUAAAGCGAAACCUAAAUGAAGAAUGCUUUUGAUCUUAAGAUAUUGUUAGGUUUUGAAGGGAAGACGAGAGUUAAAGAAUGACACACAGGUCGGGCGCUGUGGCUCACGCCUGUAAUCCCAGCACUUUGGGAGGCCGAGGCGGGUGCAUCACCUGAGGUCAGGAGUGGGAGACCAGCCCGACCAACAUGGUGAAACCUCAUCUCUACUAAAAAUACAAAAAUUAGCGGGGCGUGGUGGCACAUGCCUGUAAUCUCAGCUACUUGGGAGGCUGAAGCAGGAGAAUCACUUGAACCCGCGAGGCAGAGGUUGCAGCGAGCCAAAAUCACGCCAUUGCACUCCAGGCUGGGUAAUACAGUGAGACUGCGUCUCAAAAAAAAAAAAAAAAAAAAAAAAAAACAAAGGGCAGCUCAACAGCAACACAGGUAUAUGGCAAAAACCUACAGAGAUGGGGGAUCAGCUUAAUGCCAGAGCCCACUGCUGCUUACAGGCUGGGGUACUUAUAGGGCAGGAGGGGAAUGGGCAGUAUGGCUUGCCAUGUGAAUAUACUUACCAGUAUAUCUAUCCAUAAAACGUUCUAUGAUCAGGCAGUUUGGCCCUUGUUCCCUCAGAAAGUGACAGUGAUGUUCCUUGCACCUUUGCUGAGCAAGGUUUGAUAGGGAUGUUCCUUCAAUUGGGCCUUUACCCAACAGGGUUUGGUAAGAAAGUUGGGCAGGAAAUUUCUCACGGCCUGAACCCCCGUGGAAUGUUUCGCUUUGACCAGUGUCUGCGAAAUGGCGGGGGGCUUAGAAAAUGGUGCAGUUUGGCAGGGCGUGGUGGCUCACGCCUGUAAUCCCAGCACUUUGGGAGGCUGAGGCGGGUGGAUCACAAGGUCAAGAGAUCGAGACCAUCCUGGCCAACAUGGUGAAACCCUAUCUCUACUAAAAAUACAAAAAAUUAGCCGGGCGUGGUAGCGGGUGCCUGUAGUCCCAGCUACUCAGGAGGCUGAGGCAGGAGAAUGGCGUGAACCCAGGAGGCGGAGCUUGCAGUGAGCUGAGAUUGCCCCACUGCACUCCCGCCUGGGCAACAGAGCGAGACUCCAUCUCAAAAAAAAAAAAAAAAGAAAGAAAGAAAAUGGUGCAGUUUGGACUAACAGAUACAGCGACAUCAAAAUGUUUCCUGGGUCUGUUAAGUCCUGGGUUUGUUUAGUGAACGUUAUUAAUCUGUUCCUGUAACCCUAAACAUCUUGUGACUACUAAGAAUGCAGCCAACAGGUCUCUGCCUGAUUUUACCUACUGCCUCUUCAAGAUGGAAUUGCUCUGGUUCCAAUGCCUCUGACAAACUGGCUGCUUGAUCUCUAGGUUGUGACCAUGUCAGGGAUAGAGGCAGCUUAGGUAGAGGUAGACUUUCUUGUACUCAACAUUGAAUUGUGGCUUAGUUAAAAUCAGAACUUUCAUUCUUGGAAUAAUACAGUAUUGUAAGGGUAAGCCAAAUGAUUAACACAUUUACUUAAUUACACAUUGUAGCAUUGAAAUAACUGAUGCCUUUCUAAUGCAAAUAAAAAAGAUUUAUGUAUAUGAUAGCACUGUAGCUGUCUUGCGCCUUACUGGAUGGAUUUCAUUGCUGGCUAAAAUGACAACUUUAAACUGGCUAUAACUCAGAAGAAUGGAGGCACUUUGCACGCAGACAUCUACCUCCAUUGAAUUUGGCUACUUCCUUUUAAUGAAGCUCAAGUCUCAUGUUAUGAAAUACUCCUCCAAAGGUGUUAGCCCUUUUUUCCUAUACUCUGCCUUUCAAAAAUCCCUUUCAAUUUGCUUAACCCCUGAGAGCCAAAGGACUGUGAUGGUUGUUAGGCUGGGUCAUUGUCAUCAUGUUCAGUAAAUAAAUACCCAGACAUGUCAGUUUACCUACUUUACCUGAUUCCAAAUGAGUCCAUGGUGAUGUGAUCCUGCCUUUCUUUCUGCUGUUAGAGGUCCAUGCCAGGAGCCAGCUUUGUAUCAGUUUUGCCACAGUGAUCAGGUCAUAAAUGUCUCAGAUCAUUCAAGCCCAGUUUAACCUAGCAAAGAAAAUGGCAAGAUAAUAUUGCUGUGUUCUAGCUGUGUUCUGGCCUUCAUUUUAGGUAGGCUUAAACCUCGACCUGGAGUCAUUCCUGUUACGAUUUACCAGAAAACACCCAACAGGAAGCCUACAGAACUACACUUUGCUCCUAAUGUUAAGGAAUGAAAACAGGAAAUGUUCUGUUAUCUGCCUGGCAGUGGGGCUUUGGAGUUAAUCUCCUGGCCGUAUCACUUACCAGCUUGGCAGCCUUGGACAAACUGAGCUCUGAGCUCAAGUUUCCUCAUCUGUAAAGCGAGGGUGUAUUAUGUACCUUCAUUUGGUUGUACAGAUUAAGUGUGAACACUUAGGUAAAGCACACAGUAUGGGGCUGAGUAAAUGGACUGUUAAAUAAGACAGUAUCACUUGUUUUUAAGUUCCUUGGAGCUUUCUCCCCUAAACAGCUCAAAAGAUUUUCAUUUUUUUCUAAUGCUAAUAUUUUUCUAAUUCUUGUUUUAAAAUAUUUUACUGUAAAAUAUUUUGGCCAGGUGUAGUGGCUCACACCUGUAAUCCCAACACUUUGGGAGACCAAGGCAGGAGGAUUGCUUGAGCCCAGGAGUUGGAGACCAGACUGAGCAACAUAAUGAGACCUCGUCUCGUCAAAAAACAAAAAUGGAAAAUUUUUAAAAAACAGGCCGGGCAUGGUGGCUCACGCCUGUAAUCCCAGCACUUUGGGAGGCCAACGUAGGCAGAUCGCUUGACCCCAGGAGUUUGAGACCAGCCUUGGCAACAUGGCAAAACCCUAUCUCUACGAAAACUGUUUAAAUUAGCUGGGCGUGGUGGCACGUGGUGGUUCUAGCUACUUGGGAGGGCUGACGUGGGAGGAUUGCUUAACCCCGAGAGGUCGAGGUUGUAGUGAGCUGUGAUUGCACCACUGCACUCCAGCCUGGGCGACAGAGCAAGACCUUGUUUCAACACAAGUAAAAUAUUUGUGAAAUGGGAAUUCAGUUUCAUUUUUUUUUUAACUGAUCAAAAAUAUAACUUUCACCCCCACUGAGGCUUAAAAGAACAAAAACAAAAAAGUGUGACUGACAUUCGGCGGUUUUGGCUUCUAGACCGCCACUAAUAUUGAGCUGAGUUCCUGUAACUCUGGCUAAAAGCAAAGAGCUGUGUUUUAGCCAGAGCAGUUUUAUUAUGAGUUAGAUUUAUGAUUUCCAGUAGGCUUUUUGAAAUGUUGGCCAGAGGUCAGGGACUCCCUGUCCCCAUUCAUAGAUUCUAGACUGAAUCUCUUUCAAUAUGAACACAUUUGGCUCUUUAAGAAAGACUUAACUAAACUGGGAUUCAACUGGAUUGCCUCGAGACUUUGGGCAGAGCACAUGACUUAUUUUGUCCUAGAGAUUCCAAUCUGCUGGACACUCAGAAACUUUCACAACUUCUAUUUUUCACAUUUUUUCAUAUUUUAGGCUUCAGUGCAGAAGGAUUAAAAGUAAUGGCUAAGUUUUCUAAUGCUGUUAUUUAUUUUUUCUUGAGGCUUUAUGGUCACUAAAAAAGUAACAAUAUAUAGUACGUAAAAAAACUUAAAGAUACUGUGGCUUAUAAAAGCGUAUCUUUUUUCUGAGAACAAAAUUAGCCAAUUAAAUAAUAAAACCAUCAAGAGAUGUCACCAGUCAAUGAUGAUGGGGCAAAAAUUGUUCUGCAUUCCGAGGAGGGAGAAAUCGAUGCAAGCAGAAGCGAUUAAACAUUCACAUCUUGGAGCUAAAUGACCUCCUAGGAUGGAUGGGUUUUAUAGAGGUGGAGAGGUGGGGGGAGGGUGCUGGAUGAAAUAACUGGAAAAUCUCCUUUUUCUUACUAUUUUUCUUCAGUCCCUUUAUAGGCACAACUGCUUAAAGAAACCAGAUGGCCCCAGGAUGGUGCCAGAGCUUCCUGACCCCUUAUCAGAUACCAGAGGAAGAUAAGACUGCAGAGCGGAACAGGAUAGGCAACCCCUGGUUGGCUUCAGAUCAUUAUCAUGUCGUUAUAAUGCUAAAAUUCCUUCUCCUAAAAGAAAGUCUCCACCAUUUUGUGUACAUGUGAUGUAUGAAGACGUAUGUUUAUGAAUUGUGUGUGCACAUUUAGAGUCUCACUUUGCACAUGCUAACAUUCCUCUCCUGUCCCACACCUAGUCCUAAAAACUCCAUGCCUUCUAGUGUUUGGGGAGAAGGGGCAUUUAGAGUUAAGAGCCCCUUCCCUGGCCAGCGACUAAAACCUGGUUACCGUUUACAGUUGAAUGUCCUCUGCGUAAAUCGAUACAAAGUGGGGAAAGAGCUGAGUUUACCAGUGACGACUGGAAGACCCUCUCUUUGAGAUUUGUACCAAACCAGGUCUCAGUCUGCCUGUACAUGCUCUGUCAUUGCUUUCACUGUGUUGACCUACUUGCUGCUUUACCCUUUGUGUCUGGCCCUCUCUUGUACUUAGUUCUUUCCUCCUGUCCGUCUCCACCCUCUUUCACAUACUUUUUCUCAGUUUUGUGACUUUAGCAGACCUUUUCGGCUGGCCCCCAGCACAUCCCAUGGCCUGGCAGCAGGUGGUUUCUGCCUGGAGGGCUCAGCCAUCAAAAGAUUUCAAGAUGUAUAUUUUGUAAGGCAAAGCCUAUACUCAUAGACUUUGUGAAGGACCUGGUUGGGGAGACAGGAGAAAAAAUGGAUGGGAAAAAAGUAGUAAGCAGUUUUACUGUGUGAGAUAUUAGUGGGCGAGAUAACAUUGAAGCAGUGCUUGAUUAAAUACCAAAUGAAGUUCCAAUGGUAGCUGAGAGAAGGGAGGGGAGAGACCAUUUCAGACUGGGGCCUGUGUUAGUCUGCUUGUGCUGUUGUAGCAAUGUAGCACAGACUGAGUGGUUUAAACAAAAGAUUGAUUUCCUCACCGUCCUGGAGUCUGGAUAUCCAAGAUCAAGGUGUCAGCAGGGUUAAUUUCUUCUGAGGACUCUCCUUGGCUUUUAGAUGGUCACUUUCUCCCCGUGUCUUCAUGGUCUUCCCUCUCUAUUUUGUCUGUGUCUCUAAUCCCUUAUACAAACACCAGUCAGGCUGGGCACGGUGGCUCACACUUGUAAUCCCCACACUUUGGGAGGCUGAGACAGGAGGAUCACUUGAGGUCAGGAGUUUGAGACCAGCUGGACCAGUAUGUUAAAACCCCGUCUCUACUGAAAAUACAAAAAUUAGCCAGGAGUGGUAGCUCACUCCUGUGGUCCCAGCUACUUGGGAGGCAAAGGCAGGAGAAUUGCUUGAACCUGGGGAGGGUGAGGUUGCAGUGAGCUGAGAUCAUACCACUGCACUCCAGCCUGGGCAACAGAGCAAGACUCCAUCUCAAAAACAAAUAAAGCCGGACGCAGUGGCUCGCGCCUGUAAUCCCAACACUUUGGGAGGCCGAGGCAGGCAGAUCACUUGAGGUUAGGAGUUCGAGACCAGCCUGGCCAACACAGUGAAACCUCAUCUCUGCUAAAAAUACAAAAAUUAGCUGGGCAUGGUGGUACACGUCUGUAGUCCCAGCUACUUGGAAGGCUGAGGCAGGAGAAUCGCCUGAACCCAGGAGGCAGAGGUUGCAGUGAGCCGAGAUUGUGACAUUGCAUUCCAGCCUGGGCGACAAGAGCAAAACUCCGUCUCAAAGACAGACAAACAAAAAACACCAGUCCCUGGAUUUCUAACUGCCUCAUUUUAAUUUAGUUACUUCCGAGGCCCUUUCUCCAAAUGUAGUCACUUUUUGAGGUACUGGGGGUUAGGUCUUCAACAUAAGAAUUUGAGGGAAAUAAAACUGAGCCCAUAGCAGGGUAAUAGGAAAGGCUUUACCAAGUUAAAGCUGGGAUUGGAAAUACCCCAUUUCUGUGAUUAAAAAAUGUACCUUUGACAUUUCUGAAAUCAGUAUAUUUCUGACCUUCAGGGUACAGUUUAAAAAGGCAUACUGCCCUGGUUUUACCAUUAGUGGUUGAAAGGAUGGACAGUACAGACUUCUACUGGGAAAGAGGUCUUAGUGUUAGAUGCAUCAGCUUCUUGGGUCAGGGGCAAGAUUUUUCUCUAAGUUGCCUAUCGGAAUUGAAUCUGCCUUGCCUGAGCCUCUCCUUUCAGACUUUCUUCCCUCUCCCCAGCCAUCAGUGACCUUUCAGUCUUCAUCCCAGGUCCUCUUUCUUCCUCUGCCUCAGAGCCUAGUUAAUUGCUUCUAUUCAGUGAAAUUAGAGUUCAAGAGUCUGGGACUGGGAUUCCUUCUCAGAGAAUGCAGGAGUAGAAGGCAAACACAUCUGACUUCUUGCUUACGUCAUAGAACAUUACAGGAUGCUGUGGACUGAAUUGUGUCCCCCACGAAUUCGUAUGUUGAAACCCUAACUCCUAGUGUGAUUGAAUUUAGAGUAAGAAAGUAAUUAAGGUUAAAUGAUGUCAUAUGGCAUGUGAAAACACAGCCAGAAGCUGGCCAUCUGCAUACUACCAGGAACUGACUUGCCAGCCUCCAGGACUGUGAGAAAAUAAACUGUUGCUUAAGCCAUCAGUCUAUGGUGUUUUGUUAAAGCAGUCCAAGCUAACUAACACACAGAGGUACGAGUCCCUCUGAAAAUUGUCAGUGUUCCUUCAGUUCUCUUUGGGUCAACUUCAGUCUAAGAAUAGGUCUUAGGCCAGUCAAGCUGUACCCCUGACACUGAGGAUGGUUCCACUAAUUCGCCAUCCCCUAAUUCAGGAGGGGGAAGGAUAGAUACGUGAACAAAAUUGAGAUCCUUUUGAGAAGGAAGAGGAAGGGAAUCAGUGCUGGGCGCACAUUUAGCAAUGUCCAGAUGCCCAUAUGCGAUACGACCAUGAUAUGAUCUUAGGUGGCAUUAAUUGAAUACUAUUUAGAAGGAGGAAAAUGGCCUUUUUCUACUCCCAGCAGUUGAGACCAAACUUGUAGUAGGCACAAGGAGAGGCAGCAUAGAGGGUAGAGGCUAAGCAUGCAGGGCCCUGGAGAUUGGCUGCUUGCAUUUUAAUACUGUCUUUCACAUCCUAGCAUUGUGACUUUGAGCAGGAUACUUCUGUGUCUCCUCAUCUCCAAAAUGGAGAAUAAUAAUAGUAACCUAGCUAAUGGGAUUACUGAAGAUUCAAGUAAUACAAUUGAAAUGCUUUAAACAGAGCCUGGCACAUAAAUACUAAAUAAAAAUUGGUGUUUAUAAUUAGUCUGCUCUGGGAAACAUUCUUUCAAGAAGCAUACAGACUAAGUGCAACAGAUUUAGAGAAUGUGACUGAAAAGGGAAGGGGACAAGCCAUGUCAUCUAAGUGAAGGCUGAAGGAGCCAGGGGUGUUAAGACUAGAAAUGGGAAAACAGGAUAUAAAACAUUUGACACAUCUGGAAAAGUCUCAUAUUGUUUGUUGUCUGUUAUGUGUGUUUUGUGUGACUCAGAAGUAGAUAAGACGAAUAGUCCUAGAAGGAAUGCAGAAGACAGUGAGAUGGAGUUGAGAGUGUGAUUUCACAGUCAUAAAGACUCAAGUCUGAAUUCCAGUUCUGUCACUGAUUAGUUCUGUGCCCUUGGAGGUUUUACUCACAUUCAUGGAACCUCAGUUUGUCUGUCUGUAAAAUGGAAAUAAUGACUUCUGCUGUUUGGUUGAGCGAGGUGAUGGGGAUGGUUCAUGGUGAAGCAGAAAGGUACUACCAGAUGAGUUUACUGGCUGCGAUCUGGCCCUCAACUUUGCAGGUCUAAACUUUUGUAAUUACCCAGAGAUGAGCUUGGUGGCAGACCGACACUAAUACCUCUUUCAGGGUUGUAGUGGGUUGAAUAGUUAGUGGCCCUCAAAAGAUAUGUCAGCAUCCUAACCCACUCAACUGGUGAAUGUAACCUUAUUUGGAAAAAGGGUCUUUAUAGAUGUAAUUAAGGAACUUGAGAUGAUCCUGGAUUUUCCAGGUGGACACUAAAUGCAGGGACAGGUGUUCUUAAGGGAGGAAGAGCAGGCAGCCAUGGGAAGACAGCAAGAGAAUGGAGGUAUGCAGCCAUAAGCCAAGGAACACCUGGAGUCACCAGACACUGGAAGAAGCGAGGAAAGAUUCUCCCUAGAGCCUUUGGAGGGAGCGUGGCCCUGCUGGAUUUUCAACUUUACCCUCCAGAGCUGUGAGAGAAUAAAUUUCUCUUGUUUUAAGCCACCAAGUUUGUGGUAACUUGUUAGAGCAGCCUCAGUAGCCACUAAAUAAAGUCCAGUUGAUUAGGGAAAUCUAUCUGGCUUAACUAAUGAUAAAAACAAAUUUAAGAAAAUAAUUCCUUUGGGAGGCCAAGGCAGCAGGAUUGCUUGAGGCUAGAUGUUUGAAACCAGCUUAGGCAACUAAGCAAAACGCCAUCUCUGCAAAAAUAAAAAAAAAUAGCUGCACAUGGUAGCACAUGCCUGUAGUUCUAGCUACUAGGGAGGCUAAGGUGGGAAGAUUGUCUGAGCCCAGGAGUUGGAGGCUGCAGAGAGCUGUGAUCGCACCAUUGACUCCAGCUUGGGCAAUAGAGUGAGACUCUGUUGCUCCAAAAAAAAAAAAAAUAGCCAUCAGAAGAAGGUGUUGUUAAUAAAAACCAGAUAAACUGGGUUUGGAAAAGAAUAUUUUGCCAUAUGAAUCCAUCCCUGUCCAGGUGAAAGAGAUGAGGAGCCUAGAGACGAAAGAUUUUGGUUACUACUGAAGUGUUCUGUUCAGUGGGUCAUGGACGUUUCAUUAUUAGGCUGCUUCCUGGUCUGAGUGAAAUCUCUUCAAGACGAUUCCUUUCUUUGCUGCAGUUCAGCAUUUAUCAAAAAAUAGCCAAUGGAAUGCCAGUGCUGAGAAAUGCUCUGAAGUAAAAGUAUUCCAUGGUUAAAUAGGCUCGGGGUGUCGUAUCUCCCCAGUCUUAGAGCUUCACAAGCACAUCAUCAUAGGAGCCAAGAAGUUAUGACAUAAAGCUGUUUGAACUAUUUAAUAUUUUCACAAAUGUAUUUGAGCCCAGGACCUUUGUAUAGCAAAAUAAUACCACAUUAGAAACAUUAAUAAUUACAUUUCCCAAGUAUCCUGGUAUGGGGAAAGAAUGCCCUGGUUAAGAAAUUCAAGACAAUAAAAGCUGAGUGCGGUGGCUCACGCCUGUAAUCCCAGCAUUUUGGGAGGCCAAGGCGGGCAGAUCACCUGAGGUCAGGAGUUCGAGACCAGCCUGGCCAAAAUGGUGAAACCCCAUCUCUACUAAAAAUACAAAAAUUAGCUGGGCGUGGUGGCGGGCGCCUAUAAUCCCAGCUACUUGGGAGGCUGAAGCAGGAGAAUCACUUGAACCCAGGAGGUGGAGGUUGCAGUGAGCUGAGAUCGCGCCAGUGCAUUCCAGCUUGGGCAACAGAGUGAGGCUUCAUCCCCCUCAAAGAAAAGCCAAACUAAUAAGAUUCAAAAUGAUAAAAUAAUAAAUUGGUGUUUUUUUAUACUUUGCCCUAUAGUAGUUUCCUUGCCUCUUCCAGCUUCUGGUGGCUGCCCCAGCAUUCCUGAGCGUGUGGCUGCGAAACUCCAGUCUCUGCCCCCACCUUCACAUCAUCUUCUCCAUGUCUCCUUACCUUCCUUUGCCUCUGUCUUGAAAAGACACUGUGAUGGCAUUUAGGACCCACCCAGCUAAUUCAGUGUGUUCUCAUCUGCAGAUCCUUGAUCAAGUCACAUUUGCAGAGACCUCUUUUUCAAAUAAGGUAACAUUUCCAAAUUCCUGGGAUUAAGACUUGAUAUCUUUGGGUGGUCAUUAUUUAACCUACUACAAUUGGGCCUAUCCCUAGGCCAUGCCAGCCUGGGUGAUAAAGCGAGACUCUGUCUCAAAAAAAAAAAAAAAAAAAAAUCUUUAAUUGCUGAAAAGCAUGAAAUGUUUCCUUUCCGUCCCUGAAUUUUCUCAUGUCAUUUUUUUCACUGGAAUGCCUUCUCCCUCUUCUUUGUUUAUCCAAAUUCUACUUUAUCUUCCAAAGCCCAUCUCACCUUCUCCAGUAAGUCUUCCCUGAGUGCUCCAGCUUUUGAUCAGCUCCUCCUCAGAAUCCUCUGGCACCACCGGUAUCAUUCUUCUGAGCCCUCUUCAUGUGCAUUGUCUUGGCAUUUAAAGUAGGAGUUUGUGUGUACAUGAACACGAGUAUAUGUACACAUGUGUGAUCUUCCCAUUUACAUUUAAGAUCCUCGAGCAGUGUUUUUCAGCUUUGGGCUCCUCUGGUCUCUGGGGAUUACGAAGAGGUAGUAAUGGCUUCAUUACAGCUUAUCACAGGGACACUGCUAGAGAUGUAAAAAUGAGUGAGACAUGGUCCCUAUCUAUAGGAAAUUCAGAGUGUGGGACGGGCUCCAGUCAUAGAAACAGAAUUUCAAUACGGUAUGCUGAGAGCUGUAAUACAGACACGCACAGGAUGCAGCUGUAGGUGUGUGCGCUUCAGGAGGUCUUCUUCAGAAAGUUUAUCACUGGUCACAUGUUUAUCCCACAACGGGUUUUCACAUUUUAAUUAGAAUGUCAGCUUUUUCUCUUGGUUGGCAUUUUUUUCAACUCAGUAUGAUCAUUCUAGAUGUUUCCUGCUGAUGAAAUUUGAUUGACAUUUUGUCUUUGAUUUAAAAAAAUAAAAAAAAUGAUGAAGUUGUAAGCUAAUAAAUGCAGUUUGGCAGAUGAAAUCUUUAAAAGCCUGGGAGUUCAUUGGGUAAAAGUAUAAAAGUUGUCCAAAAGGAAUCACUUCUCUAGAGGUGAAUGUUUUAAACUUAACUUGUGUUAUGCAUGUGGUAGUUGUUUGCUAGAGUCUGGGUUGUGUCCCCCCAAAAUUCAUCUUUUGAAGUCCUAAUCCCUGUACCUCAGAAUGGGAUUGCAUUUGGAGACAGGGUCCUUAAAAAGGUAAUUACGUUAAAAUAAAGUCAUUAGGGUGAGCGCUAACCCAGUAUGAAUCCUGUCUUCUUAAGAAGAGUGAAUUUGGAUGUAGAUGCGUGGACAGAGGGAAGACCAUGUGAGGAGGCGUCGGCAAGCCGAGGAGGGAGGCCUUAGAAGGAACCACCCUGCUGACACUUUGAUCUUGGACUUCUGGCCACCAGAACUGUGAGAAAAGAAAUUUCUGUUAUUUAGCCACUAGGUCUAUGGUAGUUUGCUGUGACAGCCCUAGUACUAACAUUUUGUUUAAUAACCGUUUUCUUAUAUAUUGGCUCUCAGGGCCCUUCAUAGACAUCUUGCCCUGGUCCGUUUACUCAGCCUUCUGUCCUGACAGUCCCUCACACCUUCUAUGCCCGCUGACCUCUCAGUGUUCACUGAAUACAUCCUGCCUUUGAAUGCCUCCGAGUCCUUCCUGAGGAUUCUCUCUGCCUGGAUUGCUGUUUCUUCUCCUAGUUGGACUUCUUUGAAAACCUUAGUCAAAUGUGUGCUCUGGGGAGCCUUCCAGGGCUCCCAGGCUGAGUUAGAAGUUUUUUAUGGCAUUGUAUUUUCAUGAAAGUGUCUCCUCAUUAGACAGUGUGCUCCUAAAGUAUAGGACUUAGGUCUGAUUCAUUUUUGUACCUCUAGAGCCAAACAUGGUGUAUUAGUUUGCUCAGACUGCCAUUAUUAAUACAAUAUCACAGGCUGAGUAGUUUAAACAACGAACAUUUAUUUUCUUACAGUUCUGGAUGCUGGAAGUUCCAGAUCAAAGCCCAGCAGAGUUGGUUUCUAGUGAGGAGUCUGUUCCUGGCAUGUAGAGAGCUGCCUUCUAGCUAUGUUCUCACGUCUUUCCUCAAUGCAUAUGUGAAGACAGAGGUCAGGCCAGGGGGAGGGAGAGAGGGCUCUCUGGUGUCUCUUCUUAUAAGGACAGUAAUCCCACAUGUGGUCAAGGCCCUACCCUUAUGAUCUAAUUUAACCUUAAUUACUUCCUUAUUGGUCCUAUCUCCAAAUGAAGUCACACUGGGGAUUAGGGCUUCAAUAUAUGAAUUUUGGGGGGACACAGUUCAGCCUAUAACACAUGGUCAAUCAUGAUUUAAGCUGAUUUGGAAAAAAUUAAGUCUCAAUUGUUAGUGAACACCAGUCUCUAUAUUGAUAUGAGCUAUUGGCAAAUAAUUCUAUUUGAAUAAAAAGAAUAUUUUGAAUAAAAGGUAGAAUCAAAUAUUGACAACCAUGAACACACGUGGAAUAAGAUACUCUAGGAUUAUAUUAUCUACAUAAUUAUAUAUGCAGAGUCCUUGCACCAAGUUGUAUUAGGCAAGGAUAUUACAAUCACUCUCAUUGGAAUCUUCCAGAAGAACAUAUUACGUUUCAGAUGUUUAUAAUAGCAAUAAGCCACUCAGUCUCUGACUCAGCUUAACUAUUUUCAUAAUUGUUUUAAGCUUUAGGCUCAGAAUUUUUUGCCAGCAAAACUCACACUUGACAAACACAGACUGCUGAAUGCAAAACAAGUUUUUAGUAUUUACAAUUGGAUAAACUUGAUAUGAAAAGAACAACUUAGAGCUUUUUUAUAAAUACAGACUAGAGGAUAAGCUACUGAGUAAAGUUCUAUAUCAUAGAGACUAAUGAAAUCCCAAUUUAGAUUUUAUUUUAGGUUGGUUUUGUAGUGAAAAACCAACCUUCAAAGAAAGGAGUAAUGUUCAGGUGUGCACUUAAGAAACCAAAAUAAUCUAAGUGAAAUACCUAAUAUAUAAGGCCGGGUAUAGAUGCUUCUCAGCUUACGAUGAGGUUAUGUCCCUCAUCAUAAGUUGAAACUAUUAUAAACCUAAAAUGCAUUUACUACACCUGACCUACUGAACUUCAUAGCUUAGCCUAGCCUACCUAAAACUUGCUCAGAACAUUUACGUUGGCAUACAGUUGGGCAAAAUCAUCUAACACACAGCUUAUAUUAAAAUGCUGAAUAUCUCAUGCAGUUUAUUGAGUACUGUACUGAAAGGGAAACACAGAAUAGUUGUAUAAUUACUCAAGGUAUGGCGUCUACUGAAUGGGUACUGCUUUUGCAUCUUUGUAAAGUUGAAAAAUCUUAAGUCAAUUCAUUGUAAGUCAGGGACCGUUUCUACCAAUAAUUUAGAGACCUUGAGUAUAUUAGGGUACACUGGGUUGGCAUCUACAUAGAUUCUAGGUGGAGAUAAAAUCCUGACAGCUGUAUAGUUUCAUGAUUAUGAUUUUCAGGUGAAAUAUACAGCCUGGGAGAAAUGUAAUGUUUGAGGAUAUCGGAGAUACGGUGCCUAUAAUUACUACACAAAAAAACCUAAGAGGGCAUUAGUAUAUUAGUUUUUAUCUUCAAGUUUACCUUACUCUUCAUACAUGUCACUGAUGCUAAGAUCUGUUAAAUGAAAAUUCUGGAAAAAAUGAAUAUGAUCAUUGUACAGUGUAUGAACCUUGAUAUUGUGGCCUAGAAGAUAUUAUAAAACAAGAUUGAUUCUAACUGAAAAGCUUACACAUUCUCUAAGCUCCAAAUCAGAUGUCGAGGGUAGGAGCACUUCUGGAAUAGUGGAUAAAGACCUGAGAAAAUCAACAAUUCCAUAAAAGCAACAAGACCAAGCAAGAUACAUGAAAUAAAAAGCAACAACUAAAGGGAGAAAUGCAAUACCCACUUUUCAAUAAUAGAUAAAACUACCAGGCAGACGAUCAACAAGGAAAUAGAAGACUUAACACUAUAAAGCAACUAGACCUUAUAGACACCUAGAGAACAUUCCACCCAAGAACAUCAGAAUACAUACUCUUCACAAGUGCCCGUAAAACAUUUUCAAAGAUAGGCCAUGUAUUAGGCCAUAAAACAAGCCUUAUAAAAUUAAAAGGAUUGAAAUCAUACAAAGUAUGCUCUCCCCUCACAAGGGAAUUAAAUGAGAAAUUAUUAACAGAAGGAAAGUUGGGAAAUUCACAGAUAUGGAAAUUAAACAACAAACUCAUAAAUAAUGAAUGGUUAAAGAAAAUCACAAGGGAAAUUAGAAAAUAUUUGGAAUGAAUUAAAGUGAAGACAUAACACCAAAACUUACGGGAAGCAAUAAAUGCAGAGCUUAGAAGGAAAUUUAUAUUAAUAAGAGAUCUCAGUCACAAUGUCUUGUGCCUAUAAUCCCAGGGACUUGCAAGGCUGAGGCAGGAGGAUCACUUGAGCCCAGGAGUUGGAAGCUGCCAUGAGCUGUGGUCACACCAUUGCACUCCAGUCUGGGCCAUAGAGUG